rfam:Candidatus Nanopusillus sp. Nst1 Nst1_C5, whole genome shotgun sequence.
GCCUCCGUGGUGUAGCGGCAGCAUACGGGACUGUCGAUCCCGUGACCCGGGUUCAAAUCCCGGCGGGGGCG